rnacentral:misc_RNA from 1 species
UACGGAGGGCGCAAGCGUUAAUCGGAACUACUGGGCGUAAAGCGUGCGCAGGCGGUUGUGCAAGACCGAUGUGAAAUCCCCGGGCUUAACCUGGGAAUUGCAUUGGUGACUGCACGGCUAGAGUGUGUCAGAGGGGGGUAGAAUUCCACGUGUAGCAGUGAAAUGCGUAGAGAUGUGGAGGAAUACCGAUGGCGAAGGCAGCCCCCUGGGAUAACACUGACGCUCAUGCGCGAAAGCGUGGGGAGCAAACAGG